AGGGCACCACCAGGAGUGGAGCCUGCGGCUUAAUUUGACUCAACACGGGAAAUCUCACCAGGCCCGGACACCGGAAGGAUUGACAGAUUGAAAGCUCUUUCUUGAUUCGGUGGGUGGUGGUGCAUGGCCGUUCUUAGUUGGUGGAGCGAUUUGUCUGGUUAAUUCCGAUAACGAACGAGACUCUGGCCUACUAAAUAGACAUUGGAUCAUUUAUGGACCAUUGCAGCUUCUUAGAGGGACGGGCGGCUUAUAGCCGCACGAGAAUGAGCAAUAACAGGUCUGUGAUGCCCUUAGAUGUUCUGGGCUGCACGCGCGCUACACUGAAGGAAUCAGCGUGUGUACCCUGUCCGAAAGGACUGGGAAACCCGUUGAACCUCCUUCGUGAUGGGGAUUGGGGAUUGCAAUUAUUCCCCAUGAACGAGGAAUUCCCAGUAGGCACGAGUCAUAAGCUUGCGUCGAUUACGUCCCUGCCCUUUGUACACACCGCCCGUCGCUACUACCGAUCGAGUGUUUUAGUGA
rnacentral:rRNA from 1 species